UGCCCAGGGUGACCGAGCUGGAAAUCAGAAGUCAGGUGUCCGUCAACCCAGGUCACCUCACCAGGUCACCAUUAUGCAAAACUGCCUUUCAGCAAGCUUUAUCAGCUAUGAGUGUAUGCCUAAACAACAUUUAUUUAUUGUUUUUGAACUUCACAAAAAGGCUGUGAUGCUGCAUAUAAUCUUCAAGGACUUUUUGUUUCACUCAACAUUCUAUUAUGAAGACUAAUUCAUAUUGUGUG